UGAAAUAGUCCUGACAAUCAAUUAUUUGUCAAAUGUAUCAUAUUCUUGUUAUAGGAAUCAUGUCCAAAAUUAUACCCUGCAAGAGCGGGAAAAUUCGGAUCACAUGCUUGGUAAGAUAAACAUAUGAUUUAUGAUACCCCCGAGCCAAGACAAUAUCUGAUUGGUCAAGACAACAUUUGAGGUGUGGCCAACAGGCCAGUUUAAAUACUCAGGACACCAUAAAAUCUUGCUUUUAUCUCUAGCCUUGCUUUUGCUAUCAGUCAUGCCAGCUUUUAGCUUUGCUUCUUAGCUUUAGCUUUUAGCCAUGCUGUUUUCUCAUCACUGUUCUUUGAGCGCGGUUCCAGCGUGCUUCAGCCUGCACGCCUGCUGCUACUUAGCCACGAUGAGAAGAAACACAACCUAGUCGUGUCAAACUUUAUUUCUUUUCUUUCCCGUUCGAGAGUUUCGUGUUCUGAGUUAAGUUUGUAACGUCGAGUCUCCGAAGUCUGACCUCAGGUGCCCGUUCAACUUCAACCAGCACACACAACUCUGCACCUUCAGCCAACGCCCCACCACGGGCUUCCCAAGACGUCACUUCAACGACUACUGAACUUCCAGCCAAUCAGCGACAACUUUACACAGGCAAUGUACCUUCAGACAUUUGUGCUGGUGUAUCUAAUAUAAUUUUAACCUCAUUGAGGAACUCAAUGCGAGGGUUAAUUAAGUGAUUGAUGGUUGUUCAUGUCUAUGCAAUUUAACGUAUUGCUGUAAACUUGGGAUUCCAUAUUUCCAUUCUCUUAAACUCAUCUUUCCUUAACUUUCGAUCUUCCUGCAUCUUGUGUGAAUGUGUGCGUGUGUGCGUUUGUGUGUUAGAUUAGUUUAUAUGUCUUAGAUUUAUCUAAUAAAGCCUUAUUCAUAUUGAAAAGAGAA